AGCAAGGCAAUCCCUCUAAUUUCCACAGUCAGACUUAUUUCCUUUCUUGCAGAUUGUCAUGAUCAUGGUGUCCCUGAGGUCGUCUUGGAUCUCCUCAUCAGCUCCAUGCCCUGAUCCUAAGGAUCUUGACGAUUUUGGCAGCAAUUCCAUUAUCUCUAGGUGCCUUGUCAUUCUUCCUCCGCAUGUGGCUUUCCUCACUUCAUCGAAGGUUGAAUUAUCUCUGACUGGGUAUUGUGGGAUGGCAUUGAAAACACUCAUCAAUGACAGAGGCUCAACUAAAGAGGUCUUCAAAAUGCUCCUUCUAGUGGGCAUUGAUGAUUUCCCUUUCCUUGAUCAGGUCUCUUCCAUCCUUGGGUCUCAAGAGAGACCAUAUCAGUAUGCUGACAAUGGCUUACAAGUCCAAGUAGGAAAAAGGAAAGGAACAAUCUAAAAAGAAAAACAUGACACUGGAAUGUUUCUUCUUUACUGUCACCUUUAUUUGGCAACAUCUGCAUUAAAAGUAAGGAGUGAAGAGUUUCACACUUGCUUAAUUAUCUGCUUGAGUUCACAGCCUGCUCAAAUAAGUCCCCUGAUAGCAAAACUGGGUUUAUGGCCUUGCUUAUACUGGGAUUAGCUCAGAUUAGCUUAGUUUAGCAGCUCAUGCAAGUUAAAGAAGGGGUUUGCUCCACCAGUGCAAAUGACAACUCUGCCUGUCUGCACAAGAGGUUUGCAUUGGUUCAGUCAACUUGGCUGCUGGUCUCUGACAACUGAAAUUGGUGCUACUUUUUAUUGUGGAGAAAGAAGACUGAGUCGCAUCCUCCUUACAUGGUAACAUUGGCUGUCACAAAUAAAGGGAGAUUACAGUA